rnacentral:rRNA from 1 species
UACGUAGGGGGCAAGCGUUGUCCGGAAUCAUUGGGCGUAAAGAGCGUGUAGGCGGCUCGAUAAGUCUGCUGUGAAAGUCCAGGGCUCAACCCUGGAAGGCCGGUGGAAACUGUCGGGCUAGAGUCCGGAAGAGGCGAGUGGAAUUCCUGGUGUAGCGGUGGAAUGCGCAGAUAUCAGGAGGAACACCAAUAGCGAAGGCAGCUCGCUGGGACGGUACUGACGCUAAGGCGCGAAAGCGUGGGGAGCGAACAGG